UCCGGUUGAUCCUGCCGAAGGCUACUGCUAUUGGAGUUCGAUUAAGCCAUGCGAGUCUAAGGGAUCUUCGGAUCCCUGGCGUAAUGCUCAGUAACACGUGGAUAAUCUACCCUCAGGUGGGGCAUAAACCCGGGAAACUGGGGCCAAUUCCCCAUAGAUACAGAUGGCUGGAAUGCUUCUGUAUUCAAAGCUCCGGCGCCUGAGGAUGGGUCUGCGGCCUAUCAGGUUGUAGUCAGGGUCAAGACCUGACUAGCCAGCGACGGGUAUGGGGUGUGAGAGCACUUGCCCAGAGAUGGUUUCUGAGACACGAAACCAGGCCCUACGGGGCGCAGCAGGCGCGAAAACUUCGCAAUGCGGGAAACCGUGACGAGGGAAUUCCAAGUGUCUAUGCAUUGCAUAGACUGUUUUUUAGCCUAAAUAGCUAUUAGAGUAAGGGGUGGGCAAGACCGGUGCCAGCCGCCGCGGUAACACCGGCACCUCGAGUGGUAGCCACUAUUAUUGGGCCUAAAGCGUUCGUAGCCGGUUUGGUAAAUUCUUGGGUAAAUCGUACCGCUUAACGGUGCGGAUUCCGGGGACACUACCAGACUUGAGACCGGGGGAGAUCAGAGGUACUUGCGGGGGAGCGGUGAAAUGUUGUAAUCCCGCAGGGACCACCAGUGGCGAAGGCGUCUGAUCAGAACGGCUCUGACGGUGAGGAACGAAACCCUGGGGCGCAAACGGGAUUAGAUACCCCGGUAGUCCAGGGCGUAAACGCUGCUGACUUGGUGUUGGAGAUCCUACGAGGAUGUCCAGUGCUGGCGCGAAGGUAUUAAGUCAGCCGCCUGGGGAGUACGGUCGCAAGACUGAAACUUAAAGGAAUUGGCGGGGGAGCACUGCAACGUGUGGAGCGUGCGGUUUAAUUGGAUUCAACGCCGGG
rnacentral:rRNA from 1 species